rnacentral:rRNA from 1 species
UCCUACGGGAGGCAGCAGUAGGGAAUCUUCCGCAAUGGACGAAAGUCUGACGGAGCAACGCCGCGUGAGUGAUGAAGGCUUUCGGGUCGUAAAACUCUGUUGUUAGGGAAGAACAAGUGCUAGUUGAAUAAGCUGGCACCUUGACGGUACCUAACCAGAAAGCCACGGCUAACUACGUGCCAGCAGCCGCGGUAAUACGUAGGUGGCAAGCGUUAUCCGGAAUUAUUGGGCGUAAAGCGCGCGCAGGUGGUUUCUUAAGUCUGAUGUGAAAGCUCACGGCUCAACCGUGGAUGGUCAUUGGAAACUGGGAGACUUGAGUGCAGAAGAGGAAAGUGGAAUUCCAUGUGUAGCGGUGAAAUGCGUAGAGAUAUGGAGGAACACCAGUGGCGAAGGCGACUUUCUGGUCUGUAACUGACACUGAGGCGCGAAAGCGUGGGGAGCAAACAGGAUUAGAUACCCUGGUAGUCCACGCCGUAAACGAUGAGUGCUAAGUGUUAGAGGGUUUCCGCCCUUUAGUGCUGAAGUUAACGCAUUAAGCACUCCGCCUGGGGAGUACGGCCGCAAGGCUGAAACUCAAAGGAAUUGACGGA